GAUGAAGAACGUAGCGAAAUGCGAUAAGUAGUGUGAAUUGCAGAAUUCAGUGAAUCAUCGAAUCUUUGAACGCACAUUGCGCCCCCUGGUAUUCCGGGGGGCAUGCCUGUCCGAGCGUCAUUACUGCCCUCAAGCGCGGCUUGUGUGUUGGGCCCUCGUCCCCCCCGGGGGACGUGCCCGAAAGGCAGUGGCGGCGCCGUGCCCGGACCUCGAGCGUAUGGGGCUUUGUCACCCGCUCUGGAGACCCGGCCGGCGGCCGUCGGACCACCCCAACCUUUUUAACCGGUUGACCUCGGAUCAGGCAGGGAUACCCGCUGAACUUAAGCAUAUCAAUAAGCGGAGGA
rnacentral:misc_RNA from 1 species